CCUACGGGAGGCAGCAGUGGGGAAUAUUGCGCAAUGGGCGAAAGCCUGACGCAGCGACGCCGCGUGAGGGAUGAAGGUCUUCGGAUCGUAAACCUCUGUCAGCAGGGAAGAACGGUCACUGUGCUAAUCAGCAGUGAAUUGACGGUACCUGCAAAGGAAGCACCGGCUAACUCCGUGCCAGCAGCCGCGGUAAUACGGAGGGUGCGAGCGUUAAUGGGAAUUACUGGGCGUAAAGCGCUCGUAGGCGGUAUGUCAAGUCAAGGGUGAAAUCCCCGCGCUCAACGUGGGAACUGCCUUUGAAACUGGCAAACUGGAGUGUGUGAGAGGAUAGUGGAAUUCCAGGUGUAGGAGUGAAAUGCGUAGAUAUCGGGAGGAACAUCAGUGGCGAAGGCGACUAUCUGGCACAUAACUGACGCUGAGGAGCGAAGGCGUGGGUAGCAAACAGGAUUAGAUACCCUUGUAGUC
rnacentral:rRNA from 1 species